AGAGUUUGAUCCUGGCUCAGAACGAACGCUGGCGGCAGGCUUAACACAUGCAAGUCGAACGGACCCUUCGGGGUUAGUGGCAGACGGGUGAGUAACGCGUGGGAACCUACCUAUAAGUACGGAACAACACAGAGAAAUUUGUGCUAAUACCGUAUGUGGUCUUCGGAUUAAAGAUUUAUCGCUUAUAGAUGGGCCCGCGUUAGAUUAGCUAGUUGGUGAGGUAACGGCUCACCAAGGCGACGAUCUAUAGCUGGUCUGAGAGGAUGAUCAGCCACACUGGGACUGAGACACGGCCCAGACUCCUACGGGAGGCAGCAGUGAGGAAUAUUGGACAAUGGGGGCAACCCUGAUCCAGCCAUGCCGCGUGAGUGAUGACGGCCUUAGGGUUGUAAAGCUCUUUCAGUAGUGAAGAUAAUGACGGUAACUACAGAAGAAGCCCCGGCUAACUUCGUGCCAGCAGCCGCGGUAAUACGAAGGGGGCUAGCGUUGUUCGGAAUCACUGGGCGUAAAGCGCGCGUAGGCGGACUUUUAAGUCAGGGGUGAAAUCCCGAGGCUCAACCUCGGAACUGCCUUUGAUACUGGAAGUCUUGAGUUCGAGAGAGGUGAGUGGAAUACCGAGUGUAGAGGUGAAAUUCGUAGAUAUUCGGUGGAACACCAGUGGCGAA
rnacentral:rRNA from 1 species